GUAGUUUUUCCAGUCAGUAGCUCUAACCAUGUCAGCAAUUAUCCUCUUCAGCAGCCGUCUGUGUAGACAACACAUUGAAGGAAGGUUCUAGAAACCUAGCAUAUACAAGACAGCCAAACAGGAGCAUGCAAAGCCAGGUAAGGACAGCUAGUGCGGCAUGAGAGCCUCAGGGAGGUCACUGUGAGCGGCUGCUACUACAGAUGCCCGGUCCCUCAGAGGAUACUGGACCACAGCCGACCUUAAAGGGGUUCUUGGUUAAAAAAAAAAAGUAUCCGUGUGUAUAAAUGUAUGGUACUCCAUACGGAAGAAGUCCUGAGAAGUUGUGUGAUGAAAUUUCACUUGCAUGAUAAAGCUAAGGAAACUGCACAAGGAAAGCCCCGUAGAGCAGCGGAGUGUGGAAUGCGCUCAGGUGGAAGCUGCCUGAUUAUCAGGACGUCUUACUCCAGGGGGAUGCUCAAGAUGGACUCCUUGUGCCUUGCAAGACUCUGCUCUUUUUAACAUUGUAAAAUAACACCUGCUCACUAUGGAAACUUUUUAAACACAGAGAAACAGUGAAACAAAUUUACCCACAGUCAUCAGCUCUCCUUGUUCAAUUGGCUUUUUUUUUUCCUGUGCUCCUCUUUUUUGCCGUGUUCCUGUUUUUCGCUGGGUUUGCCAGAACCUCAAACAAGCACCCAGCCUUCUUGUGUAUUUUUUCCCAAAAUAUUACUAUUCAAAUGACCUUUUUUUGACUUAGUUGGGGCGGGGUAUUCGUUAUGUUGCUGUUGAGACAAGGUCUCACUGUGUAACCCUGGCUGGCUGGCACUUGCUGUAUCAGGCUUAAACCGUGCUCCUCUUUCUUGCCAUGCUCCUCUUUCUUGCCGUGCUCCUCUUUCUUGCCGUGCUCCUCUUUCUUGCCGUGUUCCUCUUUCUUGCCAUGCUCCUCUUUCUUGCCGUGUUCCUCUUUCUUGCCAUGCUCCUCUUUCUUGCCAUGCUCUUCUUUCUUGCCGUGCUCUUCUUUCUUGCCGUGCUCCUCUUUCUUGCCGUGCUCCUCUUUCUUGCCGUGCUUCUCUUUCUUGUCGUACUCCUCUUUCUUGCCGUGCUUCUCUUUUUUUGCCGUGCUCCUCUUUUUUGCUGGGUUUUUCAGAACCUCAAACAAGCACCCAGCCUUCUUGUGUAUUUUUUCCCAAAAUAUUACUAUUCAGAUGACCUUUUUUUGACUUAGUUGGGGCAGGAUAUUCGUUUUAGUUUUAUGUUGCUGUUGAGACAAGGUUUCAUGUGUAACUCUGGCUGGCUGGAACUUGCUGUAUCAGGCUAAACUCAAACUCACAGAGCUCUGCCUGCCUCUGCCUCCAUGGCCCGGGAUUGAAAGCGUGCACCACAAUGCUUAUGAUCAUGAUGUGUAUGAAAUAUAUUCCAUUUCCUACUUGUUAGGAAACAUGCAUUUCCCCAUCCCAUGAUAAAUCAUUCCUAGGUAGAAUUUUAAAUAACUGUGCAUUAAUAAUUACAUGGGAGUUGUCUUAGUUACUUAACGGUUCCCAGUUUAGUGCAUGUAGUGUUUUUUAGCUCCAAAGAACUCACAGCAAGCAAUGGAAAGUCCUUACUGCACAAUUUCAUGCGAAAAUUUCUUUUGAUGGUUCAUUUUUAUCUCCUACACCUAGAUUCUCCAAACUAAAAUUCUCUUAUAAUCUUAGAACAUAAAGUGUUUGUUACAUAUUAAACGUUGGCCCUCCAACAGGUUCAGCUCAUAUAUAAUAACGUUCCUAUCCAGACUGGAUGCUUUCAGAUAAGCAGAGUAUAUAUCUGUAUACAUAUUUCUUGAUUUCUAGAGAAAUUGUCUAUUUCCCACAUAUUGGCUAAUGUACUCCACAAAUUGCUUUUUUCACAUAAUUUGUAAGCAGUAAUAGUUACCAGAGUAUACAUUAUACUUGUGAAAAAAAAUUGGAGGGAGGGAGGAAAGUCUAAGAGCAAAACAGGAACAAGGAUAUACUUUGCAAGUUCCUGGGACAAAACAGGAACCCUGCCAGAUGCCUGAGGGCUCCUGAAUGAGUGUUGGCCGGAGGUUCUAGGAGGGAGGAGACAGGAUAUCCAAUUGGCCCAGGUUGGACCUGAUGGGAAAUGUGGUAUCCUUGUGGUUCUGCCCUUUUUAAUUAAGCCUCUGCAAAAAGUGACUUGUGACCAGUUCCUGAGGACCUGGGAGUAAACACGGCCAGAGUCCACCAUCCUGGCCACUGUUUAAUUAAAGCUUGAUUCAAACUUGGCUCAAA
rnacentral:lncRNA from 1 species